rnacentral:rRNA from 1 species
UACAGAGACUGCAAGCGUUAUUCGGAUUCACUGGGCGUAAAGAGCGUGUAGGCGGUUCGGUAAGUCGGCUGUGAAAGUCCAGGGCUCAACCCUGGGAUGCCGGUGGAUACUGUCGGGCUCGAGUCCGGAAGAGGAGUGUGGAAUUCCUGGUGUAGCGGUGAAAUGCGCAGAUAUCAGGAGGAACACCAAUGGCGAAGGCGGUUCUCUGGGCAUUACCUGACGCUGAGGAGCGAAAGUGUGGGGAGCGAACAGG